AGAAUCAACGCUGGCGGCGUGCCUAACACAUGCAAGUCGAACGAGAAAGUGGAGCAAUCCAUGAGUAAAGUGGCGCACGGGUGAGUAACACGUGACUAACCUACCCUUGAGUGGGGGAUAACCUAGAGAAAUCUGGGCUAAUACCGCAUAAUACCUUCGGGUCAAAGGAGCAAUUCGCUUAAGGAGGGGGUCGCGGCCGAUUAGUUAGUUGGCGGGGUAAUGGCCCACCAAGACUGUGAUCGGUAUCCGGCCUGAGAGGGCGCACGGACACACUGGAACUGAAACACGGUCCAGACUCCUACGGGAGGCAGCAGUGGGAAUUUUGCGCAAUGGGGGAAACCCUGACGCAGCAACGCCGCGUGGAGGAUGAAGCCCCUUGGGGCGUAAACUCCUUUCGAUCGGGAAGAUAAUGACGGUACCGAGAGAAGAAGCCCCGGCUAACUUCGUGCCAGCAGCCGC
rnacentral:rRNA from 1 species